GGGGGUGUAAAGGUUUCGACGGGGGUGUAGAAGCCGGAUAAGCGAGCCGUAGUUGCCUAGUCUACGUUAAAAGAGGCACGUUUAAAAUAAACGCUAAAAAUAACAACAAUUACGCAUUAGCUGCAUAAGCAGCCGCCGCUAAGCGGCGCGUCGUCAGCUCCCAUUCACCUGUAGGUGGGAAACCUGGCGUCAAUUAUACAGGAAAACUCCGUGUGAGCUCCUAGUAGCACGGGGGAACAAUAGGAUAGCCAAUGACAGAGCCUGCUAACGGGCGCUGACAGAGGCGAAACAAAAAAACAUUAGCUGCGCUCGGAGAAAGUCCUGUGGAAAUGCUUUCGGACGUGAGUUCGACUCUCACCACCUUCACCA
rnacentral:tmRNA from 1 species